rnacentral:rRNA from 1 species
GCUUGUCUCAAAGAUUAAGCCAUGCAUGUCUAAGUGUAAAUAAGUCUAUACUGUGAAACUGCGAAUGGCUCAUUAAAUCAGUUAUCGUUUAUUUGAUGAUCUCUUACUACUUGGAUAACCGUAGUAAUUCUAGAGCUAAUACAUGCGUAAGAUCCUGACUAACGAAGGGACGUAUUUAUUAGAUACAACCGACCUCCUUCUGGAGCCUUUUGUCGACUCAUAGUAACUUAUCGAACGCCAUAGCCUUGUGCUGGGCGUAGAUCAUUCAAAUUUCUGCCCUAUCAGCUUUCGACGGUAGUGUAGUGGACUACCGUGGCGUUAACGGGUAACGGGGAAUUAGGGUUCGAUUCCGGAGAGGGAGCCUGAGAAACGGCUACCACAUCCAAGGAAGGCAGCAGG